rnacentral:misc_RNA from 1 species
GAUGAAGAACGCAGCGAAAUGCGAUAAGUAGUGUGAAUUGCAGAAUUCAGUGAAUCAUCGAAUCUUUGAACGCACAUUGCGCCCCUUGGUAUUCCAUGGGGCAUGCCUGUUCGAGCGUCAUUUGUACCCUCAAGCUUUGCUUGGUGUUGGGCGUCUUGUCUUGUAUUAGACUUGCCUUAAAGUCAUUGGCAGCCAGUGUUUUUGGUAGUAAGCGCAGCACAUUUUGCGUCUUAGUCCUUGAAUCGUGGCAUCCAUGAAGCCUUUUUUCACUUUUGACCUCGGAUCAGGUAGGGAUACCCGCUGAACUUAAGCAUAUCAAUAAGCGGAGGA